UACGUAGGGUGCAAGCGUUGUCCGGAAUUAUUGGGCGUAAAGAGCUCGUAGGCGGCUUGUUGCGUCGACUGUGAAAAACCACGACUCAACCGUGGGACUGCAGUCGAUACGGGCAGGCUAGAGUUCGGUAGGGGAGACUGGAAUUCCUGGUGUAGCGGUGAAAUGCGCAGAUAUCAGGAGGAACACCGGUGGCGAAGGCGGGUCUCUGGGCCGAUACUGACCGCUGAGGAGCGAAAGCGUGGGGAGCGAACAGG
rnacentral:rRNA from 1 species